rnacentral:rRNA from 1 species
GUGGGGAAUUUUGGACAAUGGGCGCAAGCCUGAUCCAGCAAUGCCGCGUGCAGGAAGAAGGCCUUCGGGUUGUAAACUGCUUUUGUACGGAACGAAAAGGCUCUGGUUAAUACCUGGGGCUCAUGACGGUACCGUAAGAAUAAGCACCGGCUAACUACGUGCCAGCAGCCGCGGUAAUACGUAGGGUGCAAGCGUUAAUCGGAAUUACUGGGCGCAAAGCGUGCGCAGGCGGUUUUGUAAGACAGACGUGAAAUCCCCGGGCUCAACCUGGGAAUGGCGUUUGUGACUGCAAAGCUGGAGUGCGGCAGAGGGGGAUGGAAUUCCGCGUGUAGCAGUGAAAUGCGUAGAUAUGCGGAGGAACACCGAUGGCGAAGGCAAUCCCCUGGGCCUGCACUGACGCUCAUGCACGAAAGCGUGGGGAGCAAACAGGAUUAGAUACCCCAGUAGUCC